rnacentral:lncRNA from 1 species
UCCACCGGACAGCCUACGCAUUUGCCUUGGCCGUUCCAGCUGUGACUACUUCACUGAGGCGUAGGGCCACCAUCCCUUCCAUUGCACUACGAAUUUGGGUUGACUGAUGGAACGGUUUGCAAUGGAAGGUUAGAACGGUUUGCAAUAUGUUUUCCUGCAGUGACUUGCUACGAAAUUGUAGAAAUUGCAAGGCAUCUAAUACCGUCAAUACUUGGUCUGUG